rnacentral:rRNA from 1 species
UACGUAGGGACCAAGCGUUGUUCGGAUUUACUGGGCGUAAAGGGCGCGUAGGCGGCGCGACAAGUCACUUGUGAAAUCUCUGGGCUUAACUCAGAACGGCCAAGUGAAACUGUUGUGCUAGAGUGCAGAAGGGGCAAUCGGAAUUCUCGGUGUAGCGGUGAAAUGCGUAGAUAUCGAGAGGAACACCAGAGGUGAAGACGGGUUGCUGGGUUGACACUGACGCUGAGGCGCGAAAGCCAGGGGAGCAAACGGG